rnacentral:lncRNA from 1 species
AGAGUGAGGGGAUGGGAGAGUCCAAUGGCAUGUGGGGUUUUUGUUCCCUUCUCUCAUCACAAAAGUUUAUUUGAUGCUAUUCUCUUUCCAGGGAUUUGGCACAUGUCUUGGGCAAAGUUGCUAGACUUGUAGAUUUAAAAUGUCACAAAAGCAGGUGAGGUAAGGUGGAAUAGUCAAAAGAAAGAGGUGGGGUAGAAAAAAUAGCUAUGACUGUCGAAGAAAUCAGAGGAUUUAGACCUGAAAGAAGUCUUAGAAAUCAUUUAGUCCAGAGAAGAGGAAACAAAGACCCAGAGAAGGAGAGGCAUACACCCACUAAGAAUAUGGAAAUAAGAGGAGUGUCUGUAACUGCAUGA